AAAACAGUACAAAGCUCCUUUUCAAUAUUGACCCUGAUGUUCUGGACAAGACCCCAAUAAACAACACGGCCAUCGAAGGACAGGCAAUGGUGCUGUGAACGUAGCACUUGGGAAGCCCGCCGCCAUAAGCUCCCUGCACUUAAUAUCGACUACUCAAGGCGCCGUUAUGGGGAUACUGGCGUUCAGAAUUAUCGUACAUGUUCCAUCACCGACCCAGCUGACACGACACCGUGGUGGAUGGUGGACUUACAGGGAACAUAUCGGGUUGAUACCGUUCGGUUAUCUGUUGUACUCUUCCCACAGUUUGGACUGAAGAAUUUCCUCGUUGAAACAUUUAGACAAAACCCAGGAAAAUGUGCUGCUGCUGUUGUCGAAGUUUGUUUAAGCUACACUGGAGAGGUUAUGGCCUCAUCAGCUACCA